UUGGGAGACUUCAACGAGAUUCUAUCUUGGGACGAGAAGGUGGGAGGGGCUGUUCGGCCACAACGGUUUAUGGACAACUCCAGGCAAGCCCUGGAAUCAUGCGAGCUCUCUGAUCUCGGGUAUGAGGGCGAUAAGUUCACGUGGAGAAAUCAUAGCAGGGAGAGGCUUGAUAGAGUUGUGGCUAAUGCUCGAUGGUGCCAGUGUUUCCUGGAGUUCACGGUCCUAAAUGGCGCCCCUCGUCACUUGGAUCAUAGGCCGGUCAUUGUAUGUACCUAA
rnacentral:rRNA from 1 species